GAUGAACGCUGGCGGCGUGCCUAAUACAUGCAAGUCGAGCGAACAGACGAGGAGCUUGCUCCUCUGACGUUAUCGGCGGACGGGUGAGUAACACGUGGAUAACCUACCUCUAAGACUUGGAUAACUUCGGGAAACCGGAGCUAAUACCGGAUAAUAUAUUGAACUGCAUGGUUCAAUAGUUAAAGACGGUUUUGCUGUCACUUAUAGAUGGAUCCGAGUCGGAUUAGCUAGUUGGUAAGGUAACGGCUUACCAAGGCAGCGAUGCGUAGCCGACCUGAGAGGAUGAUCCGCAGCUCUGGAGAGAGGACGCGCACCAGCCUCGGAAGGGAGGCAGGAGCAGGAAACCUACGGGAGGGAGCAGAAGGGAGUAGGGGAAAAGCGGCGAGAGUGAGAAAGAUCAUCGGAGCGUAAAACACUGUUAUUAGAGGAUAGCAAAUGUGUAUGAAACGAGGCGCGACUGACCGGUACGGAAGAAGAAGGCCCGGCUAACCUACGG
rnacentral:rRNA from 1 species